GACGAACGCUGGCGGCGUGCUUAACACAUGAAAGCCGAACGGAAAGGCCCUGCUUUUGUGGGGUGCUCGAGUGGCGAACGGGUGAGUAACACGUGAGUAACCUGCCCUUGACUUUGGGAUAACUUCAGGAAACUGGGGCUAAUACCGGAUAGGAGCUCCUGCUGCAUGGUGGGGGUUGGAAAGUUUCGGCGGUUGGGGAUGGACUCGCGGCUUAUCAGCUUGUUGGUGGGGUAGUGGCUUACCAAGGCUUUGACGGGUAGCCGGCCUGAGAGGGUGACCGGCCACAUUGGGACUGAGAUACGGCCCAGACUCCUACGGGAGGCAGCAGUGGGGAAUAUUGCACAAUGGGCGGAAGCCUGAUGCAGCAACGCCGCGUGCGGGAUGACGGCCUUCGGGUUGUAAACCGCUUUCGCCUGUGACGAAGCGUGAGUGACGGUAAUGGGUAAAGAAGCACCGGCUAACUACGUG
rnacentral:rRNA from 1 species